GUUAUAUGGUCAAGCGACUAAGCGCACACGGUGGAUGCCUAGGCAGUUGGAGGCGAUGAAGGACGUAGGAGCCUGCGAAAAGGUUAG
rnacentral:rRNA from 1 species